CAGUGAUAAACUGGAGGAAGGUGGGGAUGACGUCAAGUCAUCAUGGCCCUUACGAGUAGGGCUACACACGUGCUACAAUGGCAUAUACAAAGAGAAGCGACCUCGCGAGAGCAAGCGGACCUCAUAAAGUAUGUCGUAGUCCGGAUUGGAGUCUGCAACUCGACUCCAUGAAGUCGGAAUCGCUAGUAAUCGUAGAUCAGAAUGCUACGGUGAAUACGUUCCCGGGCCUUGUACACACCGCCCGUCACACCAUGGGAGUGGGUUGCAAAAGAAGUAGGUAGCUUAACCUUCGGGAGGGCGCUUACCACUUUGUGAUUCAUGACUGGGGUGAAGUCGUAACAAGGUAACCGUAGGGGAACCUGCGGUUGGAUCACC
rnacentral:rRNA from 1 species